UAGAGUUUGAUCCUGGCUCAGGAUGAACGCUAGCUACAGGCUUAACACAUGCAAGUCGAGGGGCAGCAUUGGGAUAGCUUGCUAUUCCAGAUGGCGACCGGCGCACGGGUGAGUAACGCGUAUCCAACCUUCCCUAUAGUAGAGAAUAGCCCGGCGAAAGUCGAAUUAAUGCUCUAUGUUGUGUUUUGAGGACAUCUGAGGAACACCAAAGGUUCACCGCUAUAGGAUGGGGAUGCGUCUGAUUAGCUUGUUGGCGGGGUAACGGCCCACCAAGGCGACGAUCAGUAGGGGUUCUGAGAGGAAGGUCCCCACAUUGGUACUGAGACACGGACCAAACUCCUACGGGAGGCAGCAGUGAGGAUAUUGGUCAUGGGCGAGAGCCUGACCAGCCAGUAGCGUGCAGGACGACUGCCUAUGGUUGUAACUGCUUUUAUCAGGAAUAAGUGCGCACGUGUGCGUUUGUUGUACUGAUGAUAAGACGGCUAUUCGUGCAGCAGCGCGUAUA
rnacentral:rRNA from 1 species